rnacentral:miRNA from 1 species
UGCACGGCACUGGGGACACGU